AUCUAGUGAGAAGUAGUAACGAAUUCGGUGUUUUCUUGGCCUGCCGAAUCCGGUGAAAAGAGACGUAUCAAUCUAGUGAGAACUAGUAACGAAUUCGGUGUUUUUCAGCCAGCCAAAUCCGGUGAAAAAAGAGUUCCCCCAUUCACGACUGGAAAGUGGAAAGUCGAGCCUUGAUUAAAUUAACCAGAUUCCUUAGUGAGAACUAGCAACGAAUUCGGUGUUUUUUAGCCUGCCAAAUCCGGUGGAAAAAGAGUUCCCCCAUUCACGCCGGUGAAAAAAGAGUUCCCCCAUUCACGCCUGGAAAGUGGAAAGUCGAGCCUUUAUUAAAUUAACCAGAUUCCUUCCAUAAUUGAGUUCUUGCGGGUUCACAAUGUUCAACAACAGCUUCUCGAUCACCGUUUCCGACCAGUCUUCCGAUGAGC
rnacentral:lncRNA from 1 species